CGGGACGUGGCGCAGUUCGGUAGCGCACCUGCUUUGGGAGCAGGGGGUCGCUGGUUCAAAUCCAGUCGUCCCGACCA
rnacentral:tRNA from 1 species